rnacentral:rRNA from 1 species
UUCCGGUUGAUCCUGCCGGAGGGAACCCCUAUCGGGUUCAGACUAAGCCAUGCGAGUCGGCUGGGGGCACUUGCCCCUGGCGGCGCACGGCUCAGUAAUACGCGGUCAACCUACCCUGGGGACCGGGAUAACCUCGGGAAACUGAGGCUAAUCCCGGAUGGGUGUAGGGUGCUGAAAUGCCCCUACGCCGAAAGUAGGCGGGAAAUGGACCGCUGAGGCCCCAGAAUGGGACCGCGGCCUAUCAGGUAGUAGGUGGGGUAACGGCCCACCUAGCCUACGACGGGUACGGGCCCUGAGAGGGGGAGCCCGGAGAUGGGCACUGAGACAAGGGUCUAGGCCCUAAGGGGCGCAGCAGGCGCGAAGAUUCCGCAAUGCCCGAAAGGGCGACGGAGUGAACCCGAGUGCCACCCGCUGAGGGUGGCUGUUCCCCUGUGUAAAAAGCAGGGGGUAGGAAGGGGAGGGCAAGGCUGGUGGCAGCCGCCGCGGUAAAACCAGCUCCCCGAGGGGUUCCCACGCAUACUGGGCCUAAAGCGUCCGUAGCCGGCCCUGUAAGUCCGCAGUUAAAUCCGCCUGUAGACAGGCGGGCUGCUGCGGAUACUGCAGGGCUAGGGAGCGGGAGGAGCCGGGGGUAUUCCCGGGGGAGCGGUAAAAUGCGUAGAUCCCGGGAGGACCACCAGUGGCGAAGGCGCCCGGCUUGAACGCGUCCGACGGUGAGGGACGAAAGCUGGGGGAGCAAACCGGAUUAGAUACCCGGGUAGUCCCAGCCGUAAACGAUGCCGGCUAGGUGCUGGCCAAGGUUUCGACCUUGGCCAGUGUCGAAGCGAA